rnacentral:rRNA from 1 species
UACAGGGGGUGCUAGCGUUGUUCGGAAUUACUGGGCGUAAAGGGCGCGUAGGCGGUGCCGCAAGUCAGAGGUGAAAUCCCGGAGCUUAACUCCGGAAUUGCUUUUGAUACUGCGGUGCUAGAGUGAGUUAGAGGAUGUCGGAAUUCCUAGUGUAGAAGUGAAAUUCGUAGAUAUUAGGAAGAACACCGGUGGCGAAGGCGGACAUCUGGGACUCUACUGACGGCUGAGGCGCGAAAGCGUGGGGAGCAAACAGG